rnacentral:piRNA from 1 species
UAAUGUGCCUGGUCAUUGACCUAGAU